UACGAAGGGGCUAGCGUUGCUCGGAAUCACUGGGCGGUAAAGCGCACGUAUGGCGGAUUGUUAAGUCAGGGGUGAAAUCCUGGAGCUCAACUCCAGAACUGCCUUUGAUACUGGCGAUCUUGAGUCCGGGAGAGGUGGAGUGGAACUGCGAGUGUAGAGGUGAAAUUCGUAGAUAUUCGCAAGAACACCAAGUGGCGAAGGCGGCUCACUGGCCCGGUACUGAACGCUG
rnacentral:rRNA from 1 species